rfam:Medicago truncatula strain A17 chromosome 1, whole genome shotgun sequence.
AAACAACCCCUAUGUAUUGAAUCUAUGGCAGUUUUGGCCCCGAAGGCCACAUUUGAUUUGGUCUUCGCUGACGUGGCACCCACAAUGGUCGACACGUGGCACCUCAAUUAAGGGAUGUGGGUGCCAUGUCAGCGAAGACCAAGUCAAAAGUGGCUUUGGGGGCCAAAACUGCCAAAGAUCCAAUACAUAGGGAGUUGUUU